GAUGAACGUUGGCGGUGUGCCUAAUACAUGCAAGUCGAACGGAGAUCAUAAAGUAGUAAUACCUUGUGAUUCUUAGUGGCGAACGGGUGAGUAACGCGUUGGUGACCUGCCCCGAAGUGUGGAAUAACAAUUCGAAAGAAUUGCUAAUACCGCAUGUGAUUUUAGAGACUAGAGGCUCUUUAAUUAAAGGAUUUAUUCGCUUCGGGAGGGGCCUGCGUCCCAUCAGCUAGUUGGUAAGGUAAUGGCUUACCAAGGCUAUGACGGGUAGGGGACCUGAGAGGGUGGCCCCCCACAAUGGAACUGAAACACGGUCCAUACACCUACGGGUGGCAGCAGUAGGGAAUAUUAGUAAUGGGCGAAAGCCUGAACUAGCAACACCGCGUGUGCGAAGAAGGCCUUCGGGUUGUAAAGCACUUUUCGGGAGGAUGAGGAAGGACGGUACUCCCGGAAUAAGUCUCGGCUAACUACGUG
rnacentral:rRNA from 1 species